UUUUUUCGCUGAACAGCCAUGGUGGUACACAUUACUUUAACAGUGUAAAACAUCUGAAUAUAAAACAGUAGAACAAUAUAGAAAACAAAAGUUACAUCGUAAUGCUACUGUGAUGGCCAAACCCAUGGACACACUCCUGUCUGUAACUCUUUUUAUGCACAAUUUAUUUUAUCCAUGCAAACACAUGCAAACACAUAAAUCAACAUUUAUUAGUUGAUUUGGAUACAUUUGUUCUAUUUGUUAGCGCAUACAUUUAGUUAACAUGUGUAUUUCUAUCAACUUAAAGUUAAUUUUGUUUGCUCAAGAUUAAUUCUUUGUUUGUUUUUCCUGCCGGUAGUUUUACUUGCCUUGGAGUUGCCAGACAAAGGAUGGGGGCCAGGUCUCAGCAGGCUUAAAUGCUGAUUGGACUGCACCACUAAAGAAAAACAUAAAUAG